GACGAACGCUGGCGGCGUGCUUAACACAUGCCAGUCGUACGGUAAGGCCCUUUCGGGGGUACACGAGUGGCGCACGGGUGAGUAACACGUGAGUAACCUGCCCACAACUUUGGGAUAACGCUAGGAAACUGGUGCUAAUACUGGAUAUGUGCUCCUGCUGCAUGGUGGGGGUUGGAAAGCUCCGGCGGUUGUGGAUGGACUCGCGGCCUAUCAGCUUGUUGGUGGGGUAGUGGCCUACCAAGGCGGCGACGGGUAGCCGGCCUGAGAGGGUGACCGGCCACAUUGGGACUGAGAUACGGCCCAGACUCCUACGGGAGGCAGCAGUGGGGAAUAUUGCACAAUGGGCGCAAGCCUGAUGCAGCAACGCCGCGUGCGGGAUGACGGCCUUCGGGUUGUAAACCGCUUUCAGCAGGGACGAAGCUUUUUGGGACGGUACCUGCAGAAGAAGCACCGGCUAACUACGU
rnacentral:rRNA from 1 species